UCCUCAAGCCCCAGUCCAGGCCCUUCUUCCCAAGUGGCCCUGCAGGAAACACACCCCCAGGCCUUUCCUCCCUGAGGAUCUCCCGCUUCACGCCAAGAAUGAUGGAGGCCUGGGAGGGACCACAAUUCCCAGGGCAGGUAAAAGGGGAGGCCAAGCUGAGUCACCCAGGAGGAAACUCAUGUCCCCUGCCCUCGCCAUCUCCAGAGCCACCAUUCUGAAAAUGCUAGGCUAUUAGGAUGCGUCUAUGAGCCUGACAUCUAAGGGCUUUUGUGACCUCUUCCCCCCAUUCUAAUCAUCUCUCUCAAUCCCCACACUUGCUCACCCUGAACCAGCAAAUGCCCUUCCCUUCUCUCAUGCUGCACACCAACCUGGGCGCCUCUUUGGUCCCCCUCUGGACUGCUAUGACCUCUACCCCUCUGGAAGGCUCCCAAGGGCAAGGACAGUCUGCUCCCCUCCCCAGAGCUUUGCUGGACUAGGGGCUGGGGCUCUGAGGAUGCUUGCAAUUCCCACUCCCAGGCCUGACCCACUCAUCGUCCUUUGUGCAUGACUGUGUCAAUACACUUUAUUUUCCAUCCCCGCCUGGGUGACAUGUGGAGUGUGAACAGGCAGUGUGCAAAAUGGUAGUGGGCAGUGUUGGGGGCACAUGGGAGAGCCCUGUGAUGCCCACCCUGGUCCCCAGGCUUUGUAACACUGAGGAGCGGGUGGCCAGGAGGAGGUGCUGAGCAUGAAUCCCCACCCCAAGAGGCACCAGGGACACUGCUUGUGAGGCUGCUCGAGGCUUCAGGAGCCCCAA